GUUCCUCCAACAGAUCCCACCUCGACCCAACAGCAGCAGCAGCAGCAGCAGGAGAAGAAGUCAGCUAGGGGAGCUCAGUGCUAAGCACAGGGACGGCCCGUGCCAGCGACCUGUCAGUGAAAAGCCAGUGCUAUAUGAGGAGUUGCAAUAAGGCAGAACGUGUGUGUGUGUUAGUCUGGCCCUUCUUGGAGGACUGCUCUGAAGACUAGCAGGCGUUCAGAGUAGAUGUCAAACACGUACGAGAGCUACGCGAGGAUGAGCAACUUGACAGACUUCCAGUCGACCUGUCAAAAAAUGGGGGGGAAGGCUAAGCCUGCCAUGCAUCGCUGCCAUGCUGAUGAUGGGCGGGAUUGGUUCUCCUACCAGACUGCACAAUGUUGUCUUAAAAACAGUAUGGCCCAAAUUAAGCAGAGCUGAAGAUUGUGUAUUUUUUUUUGUAAAAUUUAACAAUAAAAUGACAAAGGAAAGACGGUCAUAAAAUAGCAGGCUAUUGUCUCUAUGUUACUAACAAUUGGUGACAUGGUUGGGGUAUGGUCAGUUUGAAAGAACAGAUAAUA